rnacentral:rRNA from 1 species
GUGAGGUAACGGCUCACCAAGGCGACGACGGGUAGCUGGUCUGAGAGGAUGGUCAGCCACAUUGGGACUGAGAUACGGCCCAGACUCCUACGGGAGGCAGCAGUGGGGAAUAUUGCGCAAUGGCCGCAAGGCUGACGCAGCGACGCCGCGUGUGGGAUGGAGGCUUUCGGGUCGUAAACCACUGUCGGGGGGGGGACGAAUACUCGGCCUCGAAUAGGGGACCGAGGGUGACGGUACCCCCAAAGGAAGCACCGGCUAACUCCGUGCCAGCAGCCGCGGUAAUACGGAGGGUGCAAGCGUUGUCCGGAAUCACUGGGCGUAAAGCGCGCGUAGGCGGCUUUUUAAGUCACUUGUGAAAUCCCGGGGCUCAACUCCGGGGCUGCAGGUGAGACUGGAUGGCUAGAGCUCGGUAGAGGCGAGUGGAAUUCCCGGUGUAGCGGUGGAAUGCGUAGAUAUCGGGAAGAACACCAGUGGCGAAGGCGGCUCGCUGGGCCGGUGCUGACGCUGAGGCGCGAAAGCGUGGGGAGCAAACAGGAUUAGAUACCCUGGUAGUCCACGUCGUAAACGAUGGGUACUAGGCGUCGGGGGGAGCGACCCCUUCGGUGCCGCAGCUAACGCACUAAGUA